rnacentral:rRNA from 1 species
CAAUAGCGUAUACUAAAGUUGUUGCGAUUAAAAAGCUCGUAGUUGGAUCUCAGGCAUGGGCGCACGGUCCGCCUCGCGGCGGUCACUGUGUGUUUUGUUUCCCAUCCUACGCUUCCCGGUUAUCAGCCCAUGGUGCUCUUCACUGAGCGUUUUGGGUGGCCGGAACGUUUACUUUGAAGAAAUUAGAGUGUUCAAAGCAGGCACGUCGCCUGAAUAAUGGUGCAUGGAAUAAUGGAAUAGGACCUCGGUUCUAUUUUGCUGGUUUUCGGAACACGAGGUAAUGAUUAAGAGGGACAGACGGGGGCAUCCGUAUUGCGGUGUUAGAGGUGAAAUUCUUGGAUCAUCGCAAGACGGACAACUGCGAAAGCAUUUGCCAAGCAUGUUUUCAUUAG